GGGCCCGCACAAGUGGUGGAGCAUGUGGUUUAAUUCGAUGCAACGCGAAGAACCUUACCAACCCUUGAAAUCUAGCGAAGUUCACAGAGAUGAGAAUGUGCCUUCGGGAACGCUAUGACAGGUGUUGCAUGGCUGUCGUCAGCUCGUGUCGUGAGAUGUAUGGUUAAGUCCAGUAACGAGCGCAACCCCUAUCCUUAUUUGCCAGCGCGUUAAGGCGGGAACUAUAGGGAGACUGCCGGGUGAAAACCCGGAGGAAGGCGGGGACGAGGUCAAGUCAUCAUGGCCCUUAUGGGUUGGGCUACACACGUGCUACAAUGGGAAGUACAGAGGGAUGCGAAAGCGCGAGCUG
rnacentral:rRNA from 1 species